rnacentral:rRNA from 1 species
CUAGUAGUGGGGGAUAACUACUCGAAAGAGUAGCUAAUACCGCAUGAGAUCUACGGAUGAAAGCAGGGGACCUUCGGGCCUUGUGCUACUAGAGCGGCUGAUGGCAGAUUAGGUAGUUGGUGGGGUAAAGGCUUACCAAGCCUGCGAUCUGUAGCUGGUCUGAGAGGACGACCAGCCACACUGGGACUGAGACACGGCCCAGACUCCUACGGGAGGCAGCAGUGGGGAAUUUUGGACAAUGGGCGAAAGCCUGAUCCAGCAAUGCCGCGUGCAGGAUGAAGGCCCUCGGGUUGUAAACUGCUUUUGUACGGAACGAAAAGCCUGGGGCUAAUACCCCCGGGUCAUGACGGUACCGUAAGAAUAAGCACCGGCUAACUACGUGCCAGCAGCCGCGGUAAUACGUAGGGUGCAAGCGUUAAUCGGAAUUACUGGGCGUAAAGCGUGCGCAGGCGGUUUUGUAAGACAGUGGUGAAAUCCCCGGGCUCAACCUGGGAACUGCCAUUGUGACUGCAAGGCUAGAGUGCGGCAGAGGGGGAUGGAAUUCCGCGUGUAGCAGUGAAA